rnacentral:rRNA from 1 species
GACGAACGCUGGCGGCGUGCUUAACACAUGCAAGUCGAACGGAAAGGCCCUGCUUUUGUGGGGUGCUCGAGUGGCGAACGGGUGAGUAACACGUGAGUAACCUGCCCUUGACUUUGGGAUAACUUCAGGAAACUGGGGUUAAUACCGGAUAGGAGCUCCUGCUGCAUGGUGGGGGUUGGAAAGUUUCGGCGGUUGGGGAUGGACUCGCGGCUUAUCAGCUUGUUGGUGGGGUAGUGGCUUACCAAGGCUUUGACGGGUAGCCGGCCUGAGAGGGUGACCGGCCACAUUGGGACGGAGAUACGGCCCGGCCUCCUACGGGAGGCAGCAGUGGGGAAUAUUGCACAAUGGGCGGAAGCCUGAUGCAGCAACGCCGCGUGCGGGAUGACGGCCUUCGGGUUGUAACCCGCUUUCGCCUGUGACGAAGCGUGAGUGACGGUAAUGGGUAAAGAAGCACCGGCUAACUACGUG